rnacentral:rRNA from 1 species
AUUGAACGCUGGCGGCAGGCCUAACACAUGCAAGUCGAGCGGAGCGGCGGACGGGUGAGUAAUGCCUAGGAAUCUGCCUGGUAGUGGGGGAUAACGUCAGGAAACGGGAGCUAAUACCGCAUACUAUCAGAUGAGCCUAGGCCGGAUUAGCUAGUUGGUGGGGUAAAGGCCUACAAGGGCGAAGAUCCGUAACUGGUCUGAUAGGAUGAUCAGUCACACUGGAACUGAGACUCGUUCCAUGCUCCUACGGUCGGCAGCAGUGGGGAAUAUUGGACAAUGGGCGAAAGCCUGAUCCAGCCAUGCCGCGUGUGUGAAGAAGGUCUUCGGAUUGUAAAGCACUUUAAGUUGGGAGGCGUUACCAACAGAAUAAGCACCGGCUAACUUCGUGCCAGCAGCCGCGGUAAUUC